rfam:Myotis davidii contig174653, whole genome shotgun sequence.
GGCGGUUCUCGGGUGACCACCCUGGAAGUGGGUUCCCUCCUCUCUGCUUCCAGGUGUGCCACCUGACAACUGCA